rfam:Leucobacter sp. Ag1 JX03_contig_18, whole genome shotgun sequence.
GGGCCUGUAGCUCAGUUGGCAGAGCAUCGGACUUUUAAUCCGCGGGUCGCGGGUUCGAGCCCCGCCGGGCCCA